rnacentral:rRNA from 1 species
CCUACGGGUGGCAGCAGUGAGGAAUAUUGGUCAAUGGCCGGAAGGCUGAACCAGCCAUGCCGCGUGAAGGUCAGUGCCCUAUGGGCGUUAAACUUCUUUUGUGCGGGAGCAAUAAUGGUCACGUGUGGCCAGACGAGAGUACCGUACGAAUAAGCAUCGGCUAACUCCGUGCCAGCAGCCGCGGUAAUACGGGGGAUGCAAGCGUUAUCCGGAUUUAUUGGGUUUAAAGGGUGCGUAGGCUGUGGGGUAAGUCAGCGGUGAAAUGCCCCCGCUCAACGGGGUGAAGUGCCAUUGAUACUGCCUGGCUGGAAUGCGGAUGCCGUGGGAGGAAUGUGUGGUGUAGCGGUGAAAUGCAUAGAUAUCACACAGAACACCGAUUGCGAAGGCAUCUCACGAAUCCGCGAUUGACGCUGAUGCACGAAAGCGUGGGUAUCAAACAGGAUUAGAUACCCUAGUAGUC